rnacentral:misc_RNA from 1 species
UGACUCAAAGGAGCGAGUAUUUUAAGGUUAGGGUUUGAGUUAGUAGUGAGACGAGGAGGUGGUGGUUGGGAUUGGGAAUUUUUAUCCAUGGAUUUUGAUUUGGAGGAAGGAGGACGUACAGAAACGCUGGGAGAGGAAUUGAGAGAGGAUGUGGCCGUAAAUGGCCGACCACGACGGAGCAGCUCUGAUAUUGUGAGUAGCUCCACAGCUUCUUCCAUUUUGCUAGAAUUUUCAAGCGAAAUUAGAUUGGGAUGUGAUAGGCGAAGAGUGAAG